CCUACGGUGGCAGCAGUGGGGAAUAUUGGACAAUGGGCGAAAGCCUGAUCCAGCCAUGCCGCGUGUGUGAAGAAGGCCUUCGGGUUGUAAAGCACUUUCAGUGGGGAAGAAAGCCUUGGGGCUAAUACCCUCGAGGAAGGACAUCACCCACAGAAGAAGCACCGGCUAACUCCGUGCCAGCAGCCGCGGUAAUACGGAGGGUGCGAGCGUUAAUCGGAAUUACUGGGCGUAAAGCGCGCGUAGGCGGUCUGAUAAGCCGGUUGUGAAAGCCCCGGGCUCAACCUGGGAACGGCAUCCGGAACUGUCAGGCUAGAGUGCAGGAGAGGAAGGUAGAAUUCCCGGUGUAGCGGUGAAAUGCGUAGAGAUCGGGAGGAAUACCAGUGGCGAAGGCGGUCUUCUGGACUGACACUGACGCUGAGGUGCGAAAGCGUGGGUAGCAAACAGGAUUAGAUACCCUAGUAGUC
rnacentral:rRNA from 1 species